UACGAAGGGGGCUAGCGUUGUUCGGAAUUACUGGGCGUAAAGCGUGCGCAGGCGGCUUCUCAAGUCAGGGGGUGAAAGCCCAGAGCUCAACUCUGGAAUUGCCUUUGAGACUGAGUGGCUUGAGUACGAGAGAGGUGAGUGGAAUUCCCAGUGUAGAGGUAGAAAUUCGUAGAUAUUGGGAAGAACACCGGUGGCGAAGGCGGCUCACUGGCUCGUAACUGACGCUCAUUGGCAACGGACAGCGUGGGGAUCAAACAGG
rnacentral:rRNA from 1 species